rnacentral:rRNA from 1 species
GACGAACGCUGGCGGCGUGCCUAACACAUGCAAGUGGAGCGACGAACCAGGCUUCGGCCUGGGGCAAAGCCGCGAACGGGUGAGUAACACGUGGGUAACCUGCCCUGAUGAUUGGGACAACCCGAGGAAACUCGGGCUAAUACCGAAUGUGCCCUCCGGCCUCAAGGCCGCUGGGGAAAGGAAGCUUCGGCCUCCGCAUCGGGAUGGGCCCGCGGCCCAUUAGCUUGUUGGUGAGGUAACGGCNCACCAAGGCGACGAUGGGUAGCUGGUCUGAGAGGACGAUCAGCCACACUGGGACUGAGACACGGCCCAGACUCCUACGGGAGGCAGCAGUGGGGAAUCUUGCGCAAUGCGCGAAAGCGUGACGCAGCAACGCCGCGUGGGGAAGAAGGCCUGG